GGGGCUGGCUCCGGGGGCCGGGGAGGCCGCGCGGCGUUCGGGCCGAGCGGGGCGCACGGGCGCCCCUGCAGCCCCUUUGUCCCCGGCCCGCAGCGGGGGCGCCCCCCUCGGCCGACCCCGCGGCCGUCGCCCGCCUGCCCGCCUGCCCGCCCGAGCCCCGUGCGCGGCGCCGGCUCCGGGGGCCUGGGCGCGACCCGCCGAGCCGGGAGCGCGCACCUGCCCGCGCGCCGCGGAGCCCGCUCCCCUCGGCCUCGGCCUCGGCCUCGGCGCGGACCCUUCCCGGGCGCCCCCCGGCCCCGAGGUUGGGUUUUCCCGAAAAUGGCGCCCGGAGGUCCCACCUGCGCCUCCGCCAGCUGCGCCGCGUUCACAAAGCCAGUUUGCGGGCUGGGGACGCGAGCUCUCCAUGGGCAGGGAUCGCGCCGUCCCCGUGUUCCAUCACAACAGGACAGGGAAGGUGAAUCAUCGCUCAGAUUAAUCUACCUGGAGCGUCUCCGGCGGGCGCAUGGACCGGCCCCCGUAGUGGAGUGGCCACCAAUCGCUUUAUUGAAAAAAAAAAUGUUAAUCACGUCUGGAAAAGUGAGAGGACACCCCACCAUUCAAACCCCUGUCCUGUUUUCCCGACUUGCACAACAGAGGGUUAAUUGUACCCGCAGCACGGGAAUAUUCUACAGGUCUUCAAAGAGCUGGUUCCAACCCCCUGUCCUUUCCUGGAGGAAGCUAAUGUGGCACCCGAAAGACUGCAGUUUUUACCGAGCGUUUUUUUGA
rnacentral:lncRNA from 12 species